GUGUCAGCAGCCGCGGUAAUACGUAGGGGGCGAGCGUUGUCCGGAUUUAUUGGGCGUAAAGAGCUCGUAGGCGGUUCGGUAAGUCGAAUGUGAAAUCUCCACGCUCAACGUGGAGGGGUCAUUCGAAACUGCCGUGACUUGAGUACGGUAGGGGAGUGUGGAAUUCCCGGUGUAGCGGUGAAAUGCGCAGAGAUCGGGAGGAACACCCGUAGCGAAGGCGGCACUCUGGGCCGAUACUGACGCUGAGGAGCGAAAGCGUGGGGAGCAAACAGGAUUAGAUACCCUCGUAGUCC
rnacentral:rRNA from 1 species